rnacentral:rRNA from 2 species
CGAUGGACAACAGGUUGAAAUUCCUGUACCGUGUAUCAUCAGAACUGUGGGGACACAGAAGGACAGCACAUCCCGGGAAUGGGAAUACCGGGGCAAGCGUGGUAGGAGUACGGCUGGCAAAACCGCCGUGCAAUCCGAAUACGUGACGCGGAGCGAACAAAAGUAGCGAAGUGUGUGAUUCCGGCUGUCAAGAAAAGCCGCUAUUGUGUGAUACAUGCCCGUACCGUAAACCGACACAGGUAGAUGAGGAGAGAAUCCUAAGGCCGGCGGGAGAAGCAUUGUUAAGGAACUCGGCAAAAUGACCCCGUAACUUCGGGAGAAGGGGUGCCGCAGAGAUGUGGCCGCAGAGAAUAGGCUCAAGCAACUGUUUAGCAAAAACACAGGUCUAUGCAAAACCGUAAGGUGAGGUAUAUGGGCUGACGCCUGCCCGGUGCUGGAAGGUUAAGAGGAGAGGUUAGCGCAAGCGAAGCUUUGAAUUUAAGCCCCAGUAAACGGCGGCCGUAACUAUAACGGUCCUAAGGUAGCGAAAUUCCUUGUCGGGUAAGUUCCGACCCGCACGAAAGGCGUAAUGAUUUGAGCGCUGUCUCAACAAUGCACCCGGUGAAAUUGAAAUACCAGUGAAGAUGCUGGUUACCUGCGCCAGGACGGAAAGACCCCAUGGAGCUUUACUCCAGUUUGAUACUGGGAUUCGGUAUUGCAUGUACAGGAUAGGUGGGAGGCUGAGAAGCAUGGACGCCAGUCUGUGUGGAGCCAAUGUUGGGAUACCACCCUUGCGAUAUUGGGUUUCUAACCUGCGCCCGUGAGCCGGGCGGGGGACAAUGUCAGGCGGGGAGUUUGACUGGGGCGGUCGCCUCCGAAAGGGUAUCGGAGGCGCUCAAAGGUUCCCUCAGGAUGGUUGGAAACCAUCCAGAGAGUGCAAAGGCAUAAGGGAGCUUGACUGCGAGACCGACGGGUCGGGCAGGUACGAAAGUAGGACUUAGUGAUCCGGUGGUAUGAAAGUGGGAUUGCCAUCGCUCAACGGAUAAAAGCUACCCUGGGGAUAACAGGCUUAUCACUCCCAAGAGUUCACAUCGACGGAGUGGUUUGGCACCUCGAUGUCGGCUCAUCGCAUCCUGGGGCUGUAGCAGGUCCCAAGGGUUGGGCUGUUCGCCCAUUAAAGCGGUACGCGAGCUGGGUUCAGAACGUCGUGAGACAGUUCGGUCCCUAUCCGGCGCGGGCGCAGGAUAUCUGAGAGGAGCUGUCCUUAGUACGAGAGGACCGGGAUGGACAGACCGCUGGUGUACCUGUUGGCCUACCAAGGCCAUGGCAGGGUAGCCAAGUCUGGACGGGAUAAACGCUGAAGGCAUCUAAGCGUGAAGCCCCCCUCAAGAUGAGAUAUCCCAUCGCGAAAGCGAGUAAGACCCCUUGAAGACGACGAGGUAGAUAGGUUAGAGGUGGAAGUGCAGUAAUGUACGUAGCUGACUAAUACUAAUCGGUCGAGGGCUUAUCCAA